UACGUAGGGUGCAGGCGUUAAUCGGAAUUACUGGGCGUAAAGCGUGCGCAGGCGGCUCCUUAAGUCAGAUGUGAAAUCCCCCGGGCUUAACCUGGGAACUGCGUUUGAAACUGGGGAGCUCGAGUGUGGAAGAGGGGGGUGGAAUUCCAGGUGUAGCAGUGGAAAUGCGUAGAGAUCUGGAGGAACACCGAUGGCGAAGGCAGCCCCCUGGGCUAACACUGACGCUCCAUGCACGAAAGCGUGGGGAGCAAACAGG
rnacentral:rRNA from 1 species